rnacentral:precursor_RNA from 1 species
GUGAGGCCUCCUGCACGUCGUUGUCCUGCUUGUCCUGCGAGGUGUCUUGCAGGCCGUCAUGC